CCAGCGGGCCCGCGUGGAGGAGCAGCUGCAGAGCGAGCGGGAGCAGGGGCAAUGCCAGCUCAGGGCCCAGCAGGUGAGGGUGGGGGUCUUCCUUUUUGCCAGAGAAGUCUCUGGCCAACUGAGUGCCUGCAGGCCUGUCCCAUGUCUUUUCUUGGGUAGGGACGGUGCCCCGGGGUGCUGAGUACCAUGUAGCUCACUCAGGAGCCAGGCCUGAGCCUCCCUCUGCCCCAGGAGCUGCUGCAGAGCCUGCAGAGGGAGAAGCAAGGCCUGGAGCAGGCGACUACGGACCUGCGGCUAACCAUCCUGGAGCUAGAACGGGAGCUGGAGGAGCUGAAGGAGCGGGAGCGGCUGCUGGUGGCCUUCCCAGACCUGCACAGGCCCACCGAGACCCAGAUCCAUGCUGAUCCCGCAGGACCGGCUCUGGUCCCCUUCCAGCAAGGGAACCCAGGGAGCAACACCACCAGUCCAGGCCCAGAGCAUAUCCCCAGGGCCUCUGGGCAGACAGCACCUUCCUAGCAGCAGGACGGGUAGGACCCUGCUGGGCCAGCCCUGCACAUCCCCAUCUCGGCAGCCCUGCGCAUCCCCAUCUCGGCAGCCCUGCGCAUCCCCAUCUCGGCAGCCCUGCAGCCAGCCCAGCAAGUCCUUGCUGGAGGGUGUGACCCACUUGGACACCUGCACCCAGAACCCCAUCAAGGUCUUGGUCAGGCUGAGAAAGAGACUGUCACCUGGCCGGGGACAGGCCAGCUCUGCACACCAGCCCCAGGAGCGGCCCAUGUAGCCUGUGGCCCAGGGCUGAGGCUGGAUGGGAGGUGGCUGGCAGCCCACCCACUGUAAUAAAGCCCCAGCCAUUGGCCCACAGC
rnacentral:sRNA from 1 species